rnacentral:rRNA from 1 species
CUACGGGGCGCAGCAGUUGCGAAUUCUCUACAAUGCGCGAAAGCGUGAUAGGGGGAUUUCAAGUGCAAGCUUUGCUUGCUUUUGUAUAGUCUAAACCGCUAUACGAAUAAAUGGAGGGUAAGAUACGUGCCAGCCGCCGCGGUAAUACGUACUCCAUAAGUGGUGCGCACUAAUAUUGGGCCUAAAGCGUCUGUAGCCUGUCUGAAAAGUUUUUGGUGAAAUCUGCAAGCCCAACUUGUAGGCGAGCCAAAAAUACUCUUAGACUCGAGGCCGGGAGAAGUCAAAGGAAUUCCUGAGGUAGCGGUGAAAUGCUAUGAUCUUAGGAGGACCACCAGUAGCGAAGGCGUUUGACUAGAACGGACCUGACGGUGAGAGACGAAAGCUGGGGGAUCGACCCGGAUUAGAUACCCCGGUAGUC